AUGUCGGAUCCGCGGGCGCGGACGCGCCUUUACUGUAACGGUUGAACAUGACUGUACACCAAGAGCCAAGAAGAGUCAUACUAGUGGAUAUUUUCUUUGCUGGGACACGGUUGCGCUGAACCCUCUCGACGUCAACUUUUAUCGGCUGGAUUCUAGCAUCUAACGUUACGAUUGCCUCUGUUGGGUUUGCUUGAUCAACCAUCGUUUCGGGGACUCUGAUGACAGUGAAGAGCCAGAAAAUGGUGACUUUGCAUCUCUGAGGUACCUUCCAACUCGCCUGGUAUAUCAGUUGAAGCCUCAAGCCCAAGCCAAUUGCACUGGCAAAGUAAGUAA